GACGAACGCUGGCGGCGUGCUUAACACAUGCAAGUCGAACGGAAAGGCCCUGCUUUUGUGGGGUGCUCGAGUGGCGAACGGGUGAGUAACACGUGAGUAACCUGCCCUUGACUUUGGGAUAACUUCAGGAAACUGGGGCUAAUACCGGAUAGGAGCUCCUGCUGCAUGGUGGGGGUUGGAAAGUUUCGGCGGUUGGGGAUGGACUCGCGGCUUAUCAGUUUGUUGGUGGGGUAGUGGAUUACCAAGGGUUGGACGGGUAGCCGGCCUGAGAGGGUGACCGGCCACAUUGGGACUGAGAUACGGCCCAGACUCCUACGGGAGGCAGCAGUGGGGAAUAUUGCACAAUGGGCGGAAGCCUGAUGCAGCAACGCCGCGUGCGGGAUGACGGCCUUCGGGUUGUAAACCGCUUUCGCCUGUGACGAAGCGUGAGUGACGGUAAUGGGUAAAGAAGCACCGGCUAACUACGUG
rnacentral:rRNA from 1 species